UUGCGGUUAAAAAGCUCGUAGUUGGAUUUCUGUUGAAGACGGCCGGUCCGCACUUUGUGCGUGUAUCUGGUUCGGCCUCGGCAUCCUCUUGGGGAACGUAUCUGCAAUUGAUUUCGUGGUGCGGUGCUCAAGACUUUUACUUUGAGGAAAUUAGAGUGUUCACGGCAGGCAAUCGCCUUGAAUAUAUUAGCAUGGAAUAAUAAUAUAGGCAUGAGUUCCUAUUUUGUUGGUUUCUAGGAAUUCAUGAAUGAUAAAUAGGGACACUUGGGGGCAUUCGUAUUACGACGUCAGAGGUGGAAUUCUUAGAUUGUCGUACGACGAACUACUGCGAAAGCAUUUGCCAAGGAUGUUUUCAUUGAUCAAGAACGAAAGUCGAGGGAUCGAAGAUGAUUAGAUACCGUCGUAGUCUCGACUAUAAACUAUGCCACCUAGAGAUUGGAGGUCGUUUUUUUAAUGACUCCUUCAGCACCUUAUGAGAAAUCAAAGUUUUUGGGUUUCGGGGGGAGUAUGGUCGCAAGGCUGAAACUUAAAGGAAUUGACGGAAGGGCACCACCAGGAGUGGAGCCUGCGGCUUAAUUUGACUCAACACGGGAA
rnacentral:rRNA from 1 species